GACGAGGUGGCCGAGUGGUUAUGGCAAUGGAUUGCUAAUCCAUUGGGUUUCCCCGCGUGG
rnacentral:tRNA from 1 species